rnacentral:rRNA from 1 species
AGGACGAACGCUGGCGGCGUGCUUAACGCAUGCAAGUCGAACGAUUCCGCGUCUUCGGGCGUGGUUUAGUGGCGAACGGGUGAGUAACACGUGGGCAACCUGCCCUCCACUCUGGGAUAACUCCGGGAAACCGGGGCUAAUACUGGAUACGACCUCCUGCCGCAUGGUGGGUGGUGGAAAGUUUUUCGGUGGAGGAUGGGCCCGCGGCCUAUCAGCUUGUUGGUGGGUGAUGGCCUACCAAGGCGGUGACGGGUAGCC